CUAGCGGGCAGCAUAGGCAUGCAGUCGUACGCGAAAGAGGGGGCAACCCCUCGAGUAGAGUGGCGAACGGGUGAGUAACGCGUGAGAAACCUGCCUUCAUCAGGGGGAUAACACUCCCAACGGGGUGCUAAUACCGCAUGAGACCACGGGAUCGCAUGGUCCUGAGGUCAAAGGUGGCCUCUAUUUAUAAGCUACCGGAUGAAGAUGGUCUCGCGUCCCAUUAGCUAGUUGGCGGGGUAAUGGCCCACCAAGGCGACGAUGGGUAGCUGGUCUGAGAGGAUGGUCAGCCACACUGGGACUGAGAUACGGCCCAGACUCCUACGGGAGGCAGCAGUCGAGAGGCUUCGGCAAUGGGGGAAACCCUGACCGAGCGACGCCGCGUGGGGGAUGAAGGCCCUUGGGUUGUAAACCCCUUUUGUUCGGGAAGAAAUGCGACCAGGUGAACAAUCUGGUCGUUUGACGGUACCGGACGAAUAAGCUCCGGCUAACUCCGUGCCAGCAGCCGCGGUAACACGGGGGGAGCAAGCGUUGUUCGGAAUCACUGGGCGUAAAGGGCGUGUAGGCGGUCAGGUAAGUGAGACGUGAAAUGCCUCGGCUCACCCGAGGAGCGGCGUCUCAUACUGCUUGGCUUGAGUACGGGAGAGGAUGUGGGAAUUCCUGGUGUAGCGGUGAAAUGCGUAGAUAUCAGGAGGAACACCGGUGGCGAAGGCGCACAUCUGGCCCGAUACUGACGCUGAGGCGCGAAAGCUAGGGGAGCAAACGGGAUUAGAUACCCCGGUAGUCCUAGCCGUAAACGGUGAUCACUAUGUGUUGGGGGCAUUGACCCCUCCAGUGCCGCAGCUAACGCAUUAAGUGAUCCGCCUGGGGAGUACGGCCGCAAGGUUGAAACUCAAGGAAUUGACGG
rnacentral:rRNA from 1 species